rnacentral:rRNA from 1 species
AGCGAACGCUGGCGGCAGGCCUAACACAUGCAAGUCGAACGAAGCCUUCGGGCUUAGUGGCGGACGGGUGAGUAACACGUGGGAACGUACCUUUUGGUUCGGAAUAACGCAGAGAAAUUUGCGCUAAUACCGAAUGAGCCCUUCGGGGGAAAGAUUUAUCGCCGAAAGAUCGGCCCGCGUUGGAUUAGGUAGUUGGUGUGGUAAAGGCGCACCAAGCCUACGAUCCAUAGCUGGUCUGAGAGGAUGAUCAGCCACACUGGGACUGAGACACGGCCCAGACUCCUACGGGAGGCAGCAGUGGGGAAUCUUGCGCAAUGGGCGAAAGCCUGACGCAGCCAUGCCGCGUGAAUGAUGAAGGUCUUAGGAUUGUAAAAUUCUUUUACCAGGGACGAUAACGACGGUACCUGGAGAAAAAGCCCCGGCUAACUUCGUGCCAGCCGCCGCUGUAAUAC